rnacentral:rRNA from 1 species
UACGUAGGUGGCUAGCGUUGUCCGGAUUUACUGGGCGUAAAGAGCGCGCAGGCGGUCGUUCAAGUCGAAUGUGAAAGCCCCCCGGCUCAACUGGGGAGGGUCACUCGAUACUGAUCGACUUGAAGGCAGGAGAGGGAAGCGGAAUUCCCGGUGUAGUGGUGAAAUGCGUAGAUAUCGGGAGGAACACCAGUGGCGAAGGCGGCUUUCUGGCCUGUUCUUGACGCUGAGGCGCGAAAGCUAGGGUAGCAAACGGGG